CUUGGGUGUUCUGGAGCCAUGGGCAGCUGUGGGGUCUUUAGCUAUUCGUUCCUCCACAGAGCUGAGAAGUUCACAGGAAGACACAGCCUGUAGGUUUGUUUGGUCAUCCAUUUGUUUCCAUGGUGGCUGCUGACAUCUGUCCCUUAGCAUAUGCCAGACUGUCGGGCUGAUCCCCUGGCCUCUUACAAUGAACUGUCCAGUGGGAAAUACUAAUAGUUACGACUGUGGAAGCAUAAUGGAAGGUGCUGUGGGAACACAGAUUCUACUCGCUCCUACUCCCUGUCAAGCGUUAACUCUUAGCCACGUUCUUCCGCACUCAACAGACAGCACACAGCACUGGAAUCAUUACUACACGCUGCAGAAGGACAUCAUGUAACACAUCUUUAAAGCCCUCUCCCAGGAGCCUUAUUCUGCAGAAACUUUGGAAAGAAGGACCCUUUACCAGCCCACAGCACUGUAAUCCCAUGAACUUGUUCAGCGUGGCCGACCCCAGCUAGGGAUGCGCAGUAAAGGCAGAAGACCUACUCCCUAGCUCGGCUCACUAAACUGUUUACAGCAGUUUGACCAUCAGUUAUUCAGGAAAGCACCGAAGGGUGGUGAUGCAACGCUGUGAAAAACUUGACAGAAGUAAAGAUAGUUAGGCAGCAGGGACCAUUGUCAUUUGAGUGAGCCUGCUGAUGGCUGCUAGGAAUUUAUAUACAAAUACUUUUCCCUAAAAGUUGAAAAUAAAAAAGGGAAAUGUGUUGAAAUGCAUUUGUUACAUCUAGAGAGCCCAAACACGCG
rnacentral:lncRNA from 1 species